rnacentral:rRNA from 1 species
GCAUAUCAAUAAGCGGAGGAAAAGAAACCAACAGGGAUUGCCUCAGUAACGGCGAGUGAAGCGGCAACAGCUCAAAUUUGAAAUCUGGCCUCGGCCCGAGUUGUAAUUUGUAGAGGAAGCUUUUGGUGCGGCACCGACCGAGUCCCCUGGAACGGGGCGCCAUAGAGGGUGAGAGCCCCGUAUGGUUGGACGCCUAUCCUCUGUAAAGCUCCUUCGACGAGUCGAGUAGUUUGGGAAUGCUGCUCAAAAUGGGAGGUAAAUUUCUUCUAAAGCUAAAUAUUGGCCAGAGACCGAUAGCGCACAAGUAGAGUGAUCGAAAGAUGAAAAGCACUUUGAAAAGAGGGUUAAAUAGCACGUGAAAUUGUUGAAAGGGAAGCGCUUGUGACCAGACUUGCGCCUCGUCGAUCAUCCGGGGUUCUCCCCGGUGCACUCGGCGGGGCUCAGGCCAGCAUCGGUUUUCGUGGGGGGACAAAGGCACCGGGAACGUAGCUCCUCCGGGAGUGUUAUAGCCCGGGGCGUAAUGCCCUCGCGGGGACCGAGGACCGCGCUUCGGCAAGGAUG